GUGCUUAAGAUAGAUUUAGCUAAAGCUGUUGAGAGAACUAAGUUGUGCUUUAUCAAGAGAGCCUUGCUACUUAAAGGGCUACAUAGUCAUUUUGCAAAUUUAAUUAUGGAUUGUAUUUCUUCUGCCACCUUUUCUAUUCACAUUAAUGGCCAACCGUUUGGCAGCUUUAGGUGAUCUCGAGGUAUCCGACAAGGUUGUCCUUUGUCUCCUUAUCUUUUUAUUCUAGUGGUUAAUGAGUUAUUGUUUACAAUGCAGGAGGCUUUAAAUGCUAAUCAUUUGAGAAGUAUUCAGUUGGGUCCUGAUUGUCCUCUUAUCCACUCUUUAAUGUUUGCUGAUGAUCUUAUUGUUUGUGGUAGGGCUGAUAAUGAUGACGCUAAUGUGAUAGCUUCUAUUACUUCAAUUUUGUGCAGUUUCUGGACAAACUCCUAA
rnacentral:rRNA from 1 species